rnacentral:tRNA from 1 species
CAAAGCGUAGCUAAAUUAGGAAAGCAUCUCCCUUACACUGAGAAGUUACCCGUGCAAAUCGGGUCGCCUUGA